rnacentral:rRNA from 1 species
CAGCCGCCGCGGGAAUACGAAGGGUGCAAGCGUUAAUCGGAAUUACUGGGCGUAAAGCGUGCGUAGGCGGUGAGUUAAGUCUGCUGUGAAAUCCCCGGGCUCAACCUGGGAAUGGCAGUGGAUACUGGCUCGCUAGAGUGUGUCAGAGAAUGGUGGAAUUCCCGGUGUAGCAGUGAAAUGCGUAGAGAUCGGAAGGAACAUCUGUGGCGAAGGCGACUAUCUGGGCCAACACUGACACUGAGGCACGAAAGCGUGGGGAGCAAACAGGAUUAGAUACCCCCGUAGUCCCUGUCUCUUAUAC